UUCUCCCUUGUCCUCUGUGAGUCAUUUCUCUUAUUUAUUUGUUGACUUAGUGCCUAAGUGACAUGCGUGUUUCAUGUCUCUCUCCUGUCACUCUGUUCCCAACAUCUGCGAGAGUGCCUCACACAUAGCAGGCGCUCGUAGUUGCAGAGUGAGGGCGGGGCAAGCAGCUGCCCAUGCUAAGGCUGGAGACGAGUGAAGAGCUGGGGCUGCGGGUGAGACAUCUGCCGGUGACACCCGCAGCUCCUCCCUCCUCCUUCCUUUCUUCUCCUUUCCUCUGCCUUCCCUGACUUGCCUCCUUCCCUCCUUCUGACCCUCCCAUAUCCUCCUCCAUCCCUGGGAGUAGAGGAGGAUCCUGUCCAUACUCACGUAUGCCUCCUCCCAGGGGUGUGCCAAGCACCCAGAAAUCCCCUGCUCUCAGCCACCUCUUCAGGCCUGGGAACCAGCCCCCUCCAGGCUGCGUGUGGCCCAGAAGGUGUGCUCCCUGCUGAUCUGCCAGGAGGCAGUGGUGGCCGAGGCUCAUCAUGCGGGUUUUGACUUUCCAGCUCUACCGUGUCUCCAGUGUCCACGAGUCAACGCCAGUGGGGUUUGCGAGACUGGGGAAAGUGUCUGCGAGACUCAAGGCAGCCAGCGGUGCUUCCUGAGGAAGGUCUACGAAGACGACACCCUUUCAUAUGGAUACCAAGGUUGUAGCAGUGUGUGUUUCCCUUUGAUGCUCUUUAAUCCGGCUGUUACUUUGGAGGAGAGAUGUUGUAAUGACUCACCUUUCUGCAACAAGUUCGAAAGAUGGGACCCAGCUUUGCCCUGAGCUGGUGGAUCAAGCUGACUCAACGUACCUUUCAACUCUCGUGAGCUUUAAGACGACAUGCACUGAACACGGGGAGAAAUCGCAAACUAGGUCUGUGUCAGGCCCAGCCACCUUUUCUCUUCCUCGUUAUGAUAUGCCACUGGGAUAUUUUAAAAUCAAACCGGGGCGAAGAGUGGUGGGCAUAGGUGGGUCCAGGCGUGCCUUCUUCCUUUCGAGGACCACACUGAUUUGCACUUUAAAAAGGCAAGGUCUGGGGUUUGUGAUUCUGCGUGGUUCUGGAGGCAGCCAGCUGAAGGAAGAGGGAGAGUCCUGAGAUGCUGAAAAGGAUAGGAAAUGAGGUGGCCAUAAAUGAUGCAUUAGUUGGUGUAGGCGGGCUGCUGUGACAAAAAUCUCUGAAAUGGCGGUGUCCUAAAACAAUAAAAAAUGAAUGCUCACCCAU